GCUUAACACAUGCAAGUCGAGGGGCAGCAUGGUCUUAGCUUGCUAAGGCCGAUGGCGACCGGCGCACGGGUGAGUAACACGUAUCCAACCUGCCGUCUACUCUUGGACAGCCUUCUGAAAGGAAGAUUAAUACAAGAUGGCAUCAUGAGUCCGCAUGUUCACAUGAUUAAAGGUAUUCCGGUAGACGAUGGGGAUGCGUUCCAUUAGAUAGUAGGCGGGGUAACGGCCCACCUAGUCUUCGAUGGAUAGGGGUUCUGAGAGGAAGGUCCCCCACAUUGGAACUGAGACACGGUCCAAACUCCUACGGGAGGCAGCAGUGAGGAAUAUUGGUCAAUGGGCGAGAGCCUGAACCAGCCAAGUAGCGUGAAGGAUGACUGCCCUAUGGGUUGUAAACUUCUUUUAUAAAGGAAUAAAGUCGGGUAUGGAUACCCGUUUGCAUGUACUUUAUGAAUAAGGAUCGGCUAACUCCGUGCCAGCAGCCGCGGUAAUACGGAGGAUCCGAGCGUUAUCCGGAUUUAUUGGGUUUAAAGGGAGCGUAGAUGGAUGUUUAAGUCAGUUGUGAAAGUUUGCGGCUCAACCGUAAAAUUGCAGUUGAUACUGGAUAUCUUGAGUGCAGUUGAGGCAGGCGGAAUUCGUGGUGUAGCGGUGAAAUGCUUAGAUAUCACGAAGAACUCCGAUUGCGAAGGCAGCCUGCUAAGCUGCAACUGACAUUGAGGCUCGAAAGUGUGGGUAUCAAACAGGAUUAGAUACCCUGGUAGUCCACACGGUAAACGAUGAAUACUCGCUGUUUGCGAUAUACUGCAAGCGGCCAAGCGAAAGCGUUAAGUAUUCCACCUGGGGAGUACGCCGGCAACGGUGAAACUCAAAGGAAUUGACGGGGGCCCGCACAAGCGGAGGAACAUGUGGUUUAAUUCGAUGAUACGCGAGGAACCUUACCCGGGCUUAAAUUGCAGAUGAAUUACGGUGAAAGCCGUAAGCCGCAAGGCAUCUGUGAAGGUGCUGCAUGGUUGUCGUCAGCUCGUGCCGUGAGGUGUCGGCUUAAGUGCCAUAACGAGCGCAACCCUUGUUGUCAGUUACUAACAGGUUCCGCUGAGGACUCUGACAAGACUGCCAUCGUAAGAUGUGAGGAAGGUGGGGAUGACGUCAAAUCAGCACGGCCCUUACGUCCGGGGCUACACACGUGUUACAAUGGGGGGUACAGAGGGCCGCUACCACGCGAGUGGAUGCCAAUCCCCAAAACCUCUCUCAGUUCGGACUGGAGUCUGCAACCCGACUCCACGAAGCUGGAUUCGCUAGUAAUCGCGCAUCAGCCACGGCGCGGUGAAUACGUUCCCGGGCCUUGUACACACCGCCCGUCAAGCCAUGGGAGCCGGGGGUACCUGAAGUGCGUAACCGCGAGGAGCGCCCUAGGGUAAAACUGGUGACUGGGGCUAAGU
rnacentral:rRNA from 1 species